rnacentral:rRNA from 1 species
GAUGAACGCUGGCGGCGUGCCUAAUACAUGCAAGUCGAGCGAACGGACGAGAAGCUUGCUUCUCUGACGUUAGCGGCGGACGGGUGAGUAACACGUGGAUAACCUACCUAUAAGACUGGGAUAACUUCGGGAAACCGGAGCUAAUACCGGAUAAUAUAUUGAACCGCAUGGUUCAAUAGUGAAAGACGGUUUUGCUGUCACUUAUAGAUGGAUCCGCGCUGCAUUAGCUAGUUGGUAAGGUAACGGCUUACCAAGGCAACGAUGCAUAGCCGACCUGAGAGGGUGAUCGGCCACACUGGAACUGAGACACGGUCCAGACUCCUACGGGAGGCAGCAGUAGGGAAUCUUCCGCAAUGGGCGAAAGCCUGACGGAGCAACGCCGCGUGAGUGAUGAAGGUCUUCGGAUCGUAAAACUCUGUUAUUAGGGAAGAACAUAUGUGUAAGUAACUGUGCACAUCUUGACGGUACCUAAUCAGAAAGCCACGGCUAACUACGUG